CUUGACUCAGAUUUAAGCGGUACCUGCCAAAAUAAGAGAUAUUAAGUAUGAAAACAUAAAUAUGAAAAAAGCAAAUUCAGGACAAAAACAUUCAAAAAGGAACCUAAGCCCGCCCAGUGCCCGCCGCCGCCAUGGGAGUGCAGGUGGAGACCAUGUCCCCUGGAGACGGGCGUACCUUCCCGAAGCGCGGCCAGACCUGCGUGGUGCACUACACCGGGAUGCUUGAAGAUGGAAAGAAAUUUGAUUCCUCCCGGGACAGAAACAAGCCCUUUAAGUUUAUGCUAGGCAAGCAGGAAGUGAUCCGAGGCUGGGAAGAAGGGGUUGCCCAGAUGAGUGUGGGUCAGAGAGCCAAACUGACUAUAUCUCCAGACUAUGCGUAUGGCGCUACUGGGCAGCGCCAGGCAUCCAAUCCCCACCCACACGCUACUCUCAUCUUUGACGUGGAACUUAUGAAACUUGAAUGACAAGAAUGGCUCUCCUUAGCUCCCUGU